GAGAGAGUCAGAGUGGAAUAAACUCAGACGGUGAGGACACACAGACCGCAGAAUCCCAACCAUGAAUGCUGUAAAUGCUGUGCAACUGUUCAUUCUGGUUUGGACCUUUACUGCUGUCUGUCAAGCUGAUGAAAGUUUCAAUGUAAGCUGUGAUGAUGUGAUUGGAUUCGUGGGGAAAGAAGUACAUCUCACCUGCAGCGUCUCACUG